GAUGAACGCUAGCGGCAGGCCUAAUACAUGCAAGCCGAACGGCAAGUUUGAUAGCAAUAUUGGACCUAGAGUGGCGCAAGGGUGCGUAACACGUAUGCAACCUGCCCGCGACAGGAGGAUAGCUCCCCGAAAGGGGAAUUAACCCUCCAUAACACCAUGAGAAGGCAUCUGAUUAUGGUUAAACCGCAAGGGGUUGCGGAUGGGCAUGCGGCUGAUUAGCUAGUUGGCGGGGUAAAGGCCCACCAAGGCGGUGAUCAAUAGGGGUUCUGAGAGGAAGGUCCUCCCCGCUGGCACUGAGAUACUGGCCAGACUCCUACGACAGGCAGCAGUGGGGAAUAUUGGACUAUGGUUGCAAGACUGAUCCAGCCAUGCCGCGUGCAGGAAGAAGGCCUUCUGGGUCGUAAACUGCUUUUUCCAGUGGAUAGAAUACCCGUGCGCGGGGGAUUGAAGGGAACCGGGGAAUAAGCCACGGCUAACUACGUG
rnacentral:rRNA from 1 species